rnacentral:rRNA from 1 species
AUUGAACGCUGGCGGCAUGCCUUACACAUGCAAGUCGAACGGCAGCACGGGGGUAACCCUGGUGGCGAGUGGCGAACGGGUGAGUAAUGCAUCGGAACGUACCCGGAAGUGGGGGAUAACGUAGCGAAAGUUACGCUAAUACCGCAUAUUCUGUGAGCAGGAAAGCAGGGGAUCGCAAGACCUUGCGCUUUCGGAGCGGCCGAUGUCGGAUUAGCUAGUUGGUGAGGUAAAAGCUCACCAAGGCGACGAUCCGUAGCUGGUCUUAGAGGAUGAUCAGCCACACUGGGGCUGAGACACGGCCCAGACUCCUACGGGAGCAGCAGUGGGGAAUUUUGGACAAUGGGCGAAAGCCUGAUCCAGCCAUGCCGCGUGAGUGAAGAAGGCCUUCGGGUUGUAAAGCGUCUUUCGGUACAGAAAGAAAUACGCAUCGGCUAAUACUCGAUGUGGAUGACGGUACUGUCAUAAGAAGCAACCGGCUAACUACGUAGCCAGCAGCCG